AUAGUAGUACAUAGCCCUACAGCAACAACAACAAGCGCGCGCCAAAUAUGGCCGAUUGAGGAAAGACACGAUGGAUUUCUCGCAAGUUAGCAGUCAGAAUAGCUUUGUAUCAAUGUAUAAUGCACACCAACUCGUUAGAUGACCAUUUACCACGUGAAUACAACUGCACGGAGUAUUUGGACGUGAUAAGACUGGAAGUACCUUGCUAGCGCCACGUGCGACGAAAGGGCUCCAGAACUCCUGUAUGUCCAUGGGAAGGUAACCAUCCUGUCCUUGCUGUCUCAUGAAGUCGGAUUGCCAAUAGUGCAUGGAAAGCCGGUUGUAAAGGCUACAAAAGCUCCAACUUGCAAAGACCUGCCAAUGCAAGAUCAACCAAUCAAAAUUCAGCAGCCAACUAACAGUGAACCAAUCAAAGUUCAGCAUUCAGUGGAAGUGCAGACCAGUUUCAUUGAGCUCAAUCCACCAACUUUACAACAGACAAAGGAGAACUUACCUUAUCCUGGUCCUGUCACACAUGCCUACGAACUUUGGCUGAAGGCUGGGUCAGCGAGUACGCUGAGUCAUAACGUCACCGCUGCGGUGGCUAUGACAAUCACGUGCAGUGACGGGACGGACCAAAUCACCAGCAGUUACAACGUGGACAUUUUUUACGCGGUUCCCGUUCUGACCAAUUUUGCCGGUACUUCCGGUCCGCUUGGAGACCUAUCGCCAGUGGGCACUUCUGUUCAACAGUUUAACAAUAACCGACCAGGAUGACGCCAUUUCCUGUUCCAUCAACGCUCAGGAGGUCGCAAAGUUUGGCAUCACCAAGGUGGACACCGCUACCGGAGCUCAGCAUAAGUUUGGUGACGUCAUUACGUGAAUGUGUAGACGUCGUUACGUGAGUUUGUUGAUGGGUUUGACGUCAUGACGAUUGCCACGCUUGAUUACGACUCUGCUACGAGUUACACGAUCACCGUCACUUGUACUGACGCUAUCAACCCUGUGACGUCAUCAAGGACCAUCAACUUAGCAGAUGACAAACCCGUUUUCUCCGGACUUCUGGCUACGUUGUCGCCGGCACGUAACGACGGCUUUCAGACGGCGACGUUACUUUGCACGUUCAGCGUCACGGACGCCAACGACCAGAUUAUUAUCACGUGCUUGAUACAGUUUAGUAACUUCGAGCUGUUUCGGGAAUUCCCAGUACUUCUUCGUCUAUUACCGUUUUGUUUAAAGUUUUAAUAUGACACCAAUGACCAAAGUGUGAUCAUUUGCUAGAUACAGGUAAGUAACUUCGGGCUGUUUCGGGAAUUCCCCGUACUUCUCAGUCUAUUUCUCGUUUUGUUUAAAGUUUUAUAUGACGCUAACGACCAAAGCGUUAUCUUUCGCUCGAUAUAGGAUAGUAACUAGUAGAACUGAUCAAUAAAAAAUCUACAUUGUUGUUUCGGGAAUUCCAGGUACUAAUCUUCUAUGUCCAUGUUGUUUACAAUUUUGUUUUAAGGCUUGUUAUGUUUUGUUCAAAGUUUUGUUUUGGAAUUUGCCGUUACUUUUCCGUCUAUUUCCGUUUUGUUUAACGUUUUGUUAAAAUAUUCAGUAAUACCCUGUACUUCCAAACCUUUUCCGUUUUGUUAAAAGUUUGGACAUCCCUGUCUUUCUAUGUCCAUAGCCGUUUGUUUAAAUUUCAGUUACCCCGGGUAGCUGUUUUCGAUACACACUUUACUUGUAUUACAAACAGCUAUUUCUAUUUAUACUUGACAUAUGUACUACCUGUGAAACAAAAUAGAGGGAUUAAACUCUUUUAAGUGUAAACAAGCGUUUGAAAAGCAUAACACAAAUAAUAAAGUUGUUAGUUUUCGAAUAUAAUCGAUUGUUUAUCACCUCAUGCUCGCAAAAAUAUAAACCAGUAAUUCACGAGUGGCGCAGUCCUAAAUGCAAAUUACAAUUGAGUGGCUCAGAAAACCGGGCUUAACUCAUGUAAGUAAAGCGUGGUACUAGAUUAGCGGAUGCAGUUCGCACAGGCUUAUCAGGUACGACACUUUGAACCGAGACCGUAUUUUUGUUUAGAAGAGACUUCACUUAAACGAGCAAAUUCCAUAAAAAAUGAAACUGUUGUUCGACCUGCACAUGCAAAUCUGGGACGACAAUUUACGCAAAUGCUUUUCGUCUAGUUUUCCCAGAACGAGUCUCAAUUCAUCUUAUCACUCGUAAAAUACAAUGGACUAAUCAGGGACGACACUUUCCGCUGUUAUAAUAUUUUUUCGUUUAAAGAAAGUCUCUUCUAAGCAAAAGUCAAGUUUAGGCGGAAAGUGUCGUCCCUGUUUUGCCUGCGCGGACUGCACACAAAUAACCUCUACUUAUCCUGCAGGCGCCGAUGGACAGCUUCUUCAACCUGGUUCCCGGCACGGCGCCGACAUUUCCGAUCUGGGUCAAAGCCAGCGUGACGUUGGACUCAGCGUCAUCACUCUCCUCGUUAACGUCCAGUGCGUUGACGACAGAUCACCCGCGAAUACCAUUACCGAAACGUUCACUGUUCCCUUACUUGACGAGCCUCCGACGUUCGUUUCGGGAAUUCCCGGAACAUCUCCGUCUAUUUCUGACUCGACCGUCAUCGCGACGUCACUUGGUGUAUUCACUGUUACCGACCCCGACACGACAUGCAGUAUUAUGUCACCGGUGACGUCAGUGUAUGAGAUCAGACCCUUGAUGUCACCGGCAGAUCCUCAAAAGCCGGGAAUUUAAAGCUGGUUCGGUGGCUGUGCGACGCCAUUGGGGAAGUUCACAACUACGGACCCGGAUACGACAUGUUCUGUGACGUCACCUGUGACAACAGUCUAUGAGAUCAGAAAAAUUGCGUCACCGACCGAUCCCUAGAAACCGGAGUUCGAAGUGUGGAUCAGAAACGCCGUUACCCAGGCCUCUAUCGACUUCAAUGACUAGUCUGUUCCGCUGCCGCUAACAAUCAAGUGCACAGACGGAAACGUUGUCAAUGACAUCACGGGGAUGUUUAACGUCAACAUCGUCGACUCGCCACCGGUUUUCACUGCACUGCCUGCUACCGGAUCUAACAUUUUCGACGGUCUCAAACAGGCCACCGAAACCCUUCACACAUUCAGCGUCACCGAUAGCGACGACACCGUUACGUGCUCUGCAAGAGCGCCGGAAAACGCCCUUUCUGAAGUGGUCGCCGGCGUGGCACCAAGUAAUAAACUGGAAAAAUCAAUACCAAUUUAAUCCUCGUUCUGGGAAAACUGGGCUUAAUGCAUGUGCUUUAAAAGUGGUCUCUGAGUGGACCCAGGCUAAAAGGAUUUACAGUAAACGUAAGGAUGGGGGUUACGCUAAGAGCAGAGAACGGACCUUACGUCAUCAACGUCGACUGCUCAGAUGGCGACAAUGACGUCACUGCGACGUUCACACAACCAGUGAUGGAUACGCCGCCGACCGUUGUAUCCGGGAUCCCCUGAUGUUCCCCAACGUAUCUGACGCCACUGUCACGCAGACGUUACUCGGGAAGUUUACAACUACAGACCCAGAUACGGCGCGCUCUGUGACGUCACCAUCCACCACCGUGUAUGAGAUCAGAAAUGUGACGUCACCGGUGAAUGUUUCUCAGCCAGGAAAUCCUCCAGUUAGGAUAAGAAGUUUAUUGCGGCUGAUGUUGACACAUAUCUCUAUGAGGUUAGGGGAAACAUUGGUGAACGCUGCCUGCCCGACAACACGAAAAUGUUGGCUCUGUACAAGGUCAACCCCAACGCUGAGUGGGUCUUGAAACACAGACAACGCAUGAAAGCCGAUUAACCGCAUCUUAAAAUUGUUCGACAGAGACUGAAAUUUUGCUGGCAGAGAGAAUGGGCAAAACCUCGUAUUUAGCGGUUUUGACAAAAGCCCUCCAUCCCAUUUCUGUGUAUAGCUCUCAUUUCCAUUUAGAGCUCCAAUAACUAUUUUGAGCUCCCAUUUCUAUUUAGAGCUCACUUGUGUUUUUAGAGCCCUAAUGUCUGUUUAGAGCUCCAAUUUAUAUGUAUUGCUCCCAUUACUAUUUAAAGCUUCUUUGUUAUUGUAUGUUUUCUGCAAAGUAUUAUACAUGUAUUAUAAUUACUGAUGCUGGCCCUUUUUGACCCAUAUCCGACAGUGUUGUCUCAUUACAUUUAAUGUUAUGUGCAUCACAAAUGUUGCGCUAAGUUAUUUCGUGUGUUUGUAUACUAGAUGACUAUUAGGAAUAUGUACUAUAAUAGUAAAUAUGGCUAUACACAUGUUAUUAAAUACGUCUGAAGAUGAAA